rnacentral:rRNA from 1 species
AGCUAAUAGAUACCCGGGUAGUCCACGCCCUAAACGAUGUCGACUGGUUGUUGGGGGUUUGACACUCUCAGUAAACGAAAGCUAAACGCGUGAAGUCGACCGCCUGGGGAGUACGGCCGCAAGGUUAAAACUCAAAGGAAUUGACGGGGACCCGCACAAGCGGUGGAUUAUGUGGAUUAAUUCGAUGCAACGCGAAAAACCUUACCUACCCUUGACAUGUCCGGAAGGCUUGAGAGAUCAGGCUGUGCCCGAAAGGGAACCGGAACACAGGUGCUGCAUGGCUGUCGUCAGCUCGUGUCGUGAGAUGUUGGGUUAAGUCCCGCAACGAGCGCAACCCUUGUCAUUAGUUGCUACAUUCAGUUGGGCACUCUAAUGAGACUGCCGGUGACAAACCGGAGGAAGGUGGGGAUGACGUCAAGUCCUCAUGGCCCUUAUGGGUAGGGCUUCACACGUAAUACAAUGGCGCGUACAGAGGGUUGCCAAGCCGCGAGGUGGGACGACAC